rnacentral:rRNA from 1 species
UACGGGGGGGGCAAGCGUUGUUCGGAAUUACUGGGCGUAAAGGGCGCGUAGGCGGCCUACUAAGUCGGACGUGAAAUCCCUCGGCUCAACCGGGGAACUGCGUCCGAUACUGGUGGGCUUGAAUCCGGGAGAGGGAUGUGGAAUUCCAGGUGUAGCGGUGAAAUGCGUAGAUAUCUGGAGGAACACCGGUGGCGAAGGCGGCAUCCUGGACCGGUAUUGACGCUGAGGAGCGAAAGCCAGGGGAGCAAACGGG